rnacentral:rRNA from 1 species
AUUGAACGCUGGCGGCAUGCCUUACACAUGCAAGUCGAACGGCAGCACGGGAGCAAUCCUGGUGGCGAGUGGCGAACGGGUGAGUAAUGUAUCGGAACGUGCCCAGUCGUGGGGGAUAACGUAGCGAAAGCUACGCUAAUACCGCAUACGAUCUAUGGAUGAAAGCGGGGGACCGUAAGGCCUCGCGCGAUUGGAGCGGCCGAUAUCAGAUUAGGUAGUUGGUGGGGCAAAGGCCUACCAAGCCGACGAUCUGUAGCUGGUCUGAGAGGACGACCAGCCACACGGGGACUGAGACACGGCCCAGACUCCUACGGGAGGCAGCAGUGGGGAAUUUUGGACAAUGGGCGCAAGCCUGAUCCAGCAAUGCCGCGUGCAGGAUGAAGGCCUUCGGGUUGUAAACUGCUUUUGUACGGAGCGAAAAGGCUCUCUCUAAUACAGGGGGCUCAUGACGGUACCGUAAGAAUAAGCACCGGCUAACUACGUGCCAGCCGCCGCAGUAA